ACGGGGGGAACGCGAAGAACCUUACCUGGACUAGAAUGUGAGGGGAUGUCGGGUAACGCCGGCAGUCCGGGAAACCGGACCCAAAACAAGGUGCUGCAUGGCUGUCGUCAGCUCGUGUCGUGAGAUGUUGGGUUAAGUCCCGCAACGAGCGCAACCCUUAUCAACAGUUGCCAUCAUUAAGUUGGGAACUCUGUUGAGACUGCCGUUGAUAAAACGGAGGAAGGUGGGGAUGAUGUCAAGUCAUCAUGGCCUUUAUGUUCAGGGCUACACACGUGCUACAAUGGAAGGUACAAAACGUCGCAAUCCCGCAAGGGGGAGCUAAUCGCGAAAACCUUCCUCAGUUCGGAUUGGAGUCUGCAACUCGACUCCAUGAAGUGGAAUCGCUAGUAAUCGCAAAUCAGAC
rnacentral:rRNA from 1 species